ensembl:lncRNA
UAAAAGGUUUAAAAACUUGCUAAUUUAUGGUGUUUUAUGUUAAUUAAGGUAAAAUGGCUAAAAUAUGUGUUCAGACUCUUAUUGUGAAAGGGUACGCUGCAGCGUGACUCCUGUGAUCAGCCACACCCAAUCGGGUUGUUCCUUCUUUUUGAUGCUGGAGAGGGAGAAAUGCAGACAGUCCUUGCGGAGCUGCUGCCUAAACGAGUGAAAAAAUAUUAAAAAACAAGCCAGAAGUCUGCAUAAAGUCAUUUUUGUACUCUGGAGAAUGUAUUUUUGUUUUUCCGACCUGUCCUUGCCUUGGUGACGUUGUGAACGUAACUGAACGGGACUUGGCCAUUAAGGUUUGGAUCGGGAAAUGCCGAGCUAGAAUCGGAGUUUGAUCCGCUGAGCGAGAAACAAGAUGGCGAGCCACCCACGGACCCAUUGAACUGUACCGAGCAGGAAAAAGGAAAACCGCCCCCUGCUGGACGUUGAACUCUUUCGCUAAAAACCUGGUAGGAUUAAUCCAUACACUUCUGCAAAAGAACAGUGGACUUUCAAAGCACUGGAUAACCAUUCAGAGCAAUUCCAGGAUUAAUAGUUAAAGGACACAGCAAGGUUAUUAUCGUUAACGAAAACUAACGAAAUAACGAAUAAAAAACAGUUUCGUUAACGGAAAUAAAAAUAAAAACGAGACUUUGCAAUAAAAGGAAAACUAACUAAAACUGAAAUGACCGUUCACAAAACUAACUAAAAUUAACUGAAUUUAUAGAGAAAAUGUGUUUAGUUUUCGUUGAUGUGUAUGUGUCAUACGUUAGUCUAGGGUGAGAAUGAAGUGUAUUUUCCAGGUUAUGUUCUUGCUGUGCCUUAUUAUGCCAGCAGGUGGCAAGUACCUCAGUCGGGUCGUCUGUGUUGCCGCUCCGUCCACGCGUAGCAUCAUGUCAACAAAAGUCGGGAGAAAGCGUCAGAGUCCAAUUUGGGAUUACUUUGAAUAUGACUGUGUUUGGAUAAAGCAAGUGUCUUGUAGUGGAACGAGACAAAUUAUGAGGGACAUUUCUAAAGGGAAAGAAAUCCCACAAACCUUAAAGUGCACUUGAAAAGCUCACACAAGAAGGCUAACCUAGCUUACCUGGAGAAGGUAAGGAGCACACUCAACCCUCAUCCCCAGAAACAGAAGCUAACACCAGGCAAGGCAGCGUGAUGCAUCCCGAGACAACAGGACUGGGAUAUCUACAUAACUGUUCCAUCACAGCGACCUGCUUCAGUGUGACCUAUGCUAAAGGGAGAAUGUGUUCUUACAGACAGACAUCAGUAGAUGAGCCGUGCUCCAUCACAUAUCCCAGAGAUAUUCAUGUUGAAACAUCUUCUGAUACAUCAGAUAUUGUCAGACUGACCUGUAACACCAGCUGUGCACUGACUGAGCCUGAAACUCAGUACAUGUGGUACCACAACAGAAGCAGAAACUACAGGAAUCAAAAUAUUUCAAUUAAUCGCUCUGCAAAAGACAAGUUCUCAUGUGCUGUGAAAGACCACGAGUACCUUCAGUCUCCAGAAGUCUGUGUUCAGGAUAAAAACUGCUGGAGAGUGAAUUAUGUCAGCAGGAGAAUCUGUGCUCUGGAAGGAUCUUCAGUCAACAUCACAAGUGAAUACUCACAUCCUGAUAACAUGAAGCCAGAGUUUAAAUGUUGGAGUAAAAAAUGGAGAAAAGAUGAAGUGGAAGUUGAAGAGCUGAUUGAAGCUGCGGGUCGUGUGGAGUAUCAGGACAACAUGAAGAACCAACACAUCCUGACCAUCAACAACCUGAAGAAGAAUGACUCAGGAGGAUACACAUUCAGAUUCCAGAAAGAUCAUGAAGGAUGGACACAGUCUGAUCUGCCUGGAGUCUUUUUGAUUGUCACAG